UCAAAGUCUACUUCAGAUUUUGAUUUGGGUUCUGAUAUUGCAGGAUUAGCUGGGCAACUUGACGGAGUAUCAUCCACAAUGGGCGCAGUCUCAGGUUCAACUUCUGAUUUUAAAUUGGGUUGGGAGAUUGCAUCACUUUCUGGGCAAGUUGACAGAGUAACAUCCCCAAUGGGCACAAUCUCAGGUUCAAUUUCUAAUUUGGAAUUCGGUUCUGAUAUUGCAUCAUUAACUGGGAAACUUGACAAGGUAUCCUCUAUACCAGGCCCACCCUCAGCUUCAAUUUCUGAUUUUGAAUGCUCAAGAAGGCAAGGACUAGGGCUUUCACUACUCUUCUCAUUUAGGUUUACAGCAUCAGUCCCUGCCAUCCCAUCGUCAACAGUGCAAGUUGAAACAUCUUCAGUAGGUAGAGAAACCUCGUUUUCAACAUCUGGAUUUCCUGUUGUAUCAUUAUCAGCAACAGUUGAAAAGCUUUCACCAUUUUCAGUAGGCAUUUUCUCACAGCUCUCAGCAUUUUCACAUGACCCGUUCUCAUCAGGUGCAUCAACCAAGUCAACUGUAACUACGGGCUCUGAAAUGCCCUCUUGAGCAUGAACAAUAAGCAAGCCAUCUUCAGUACUUUGAUCAGGGACAGUGCCAUUGCCAACUUCUGCUGCCAACUUGUUCUCAACUUGGAAGGAGGCGUUU
rnacentral:lncRNA from 1 species